UACGUAGGGCGCAAGCGUUGUCCGGAAUUAUUGGGCGUAAAGAGCUCGUAGGCGGUUUGUCGCGUCUGCUGUGAAAACCCGCGGCUCAACCGCGGGCUUGCAGCCGAUACGGGCAGGCUAGAGUUCGGUAGGGGAGACUGGAAUUCCUGGUGUAGCGGUGAAAUGCGCAGAUAUCAGGAGGAACACCGGUGGCGAAGGCGGGUCUCUGGGCCGAUACUGACGCUGAGGAGCGAAAGCGUGGGGAGCGAACAGG
rnacentral:rRNA from 1 species